UACGAAGGGGGCUAGCGUUGCUCGGAAUCACUGGGCGUAAAGGGUGCGUAGGCGGGUCUUAAGUCAGGGGUGAAAUCCUGGAGCUCAACUCCAGAACUGCCUUUGAUACUGAAGAUCUUGAGUUCGGGAGAGGUGAGUGGAACUGCGAGUGUAGAGGUGAAAUCGUAGAUAUCGCAAGAACACCAGUGGCGAAGGCGCUCACUGGCCCGAGUACUG
rnacentral:rRNA from 1 species